GUGUCCUGAGUCAUGCCUUGCCAAAUAAAUAGAAGGCAUGCGUUAAACCACGAUUGUCAUUUGAAGCUGUAACCUGUGAAAAUGCGAACAACCCGAAGUAGGGUAUUCACGCGUGAUGUAUUUUUGAAACUAAAGGGUAAUUUCGUUACUAUUAAGACUGCUGUCCGGAGUGAUGUAGGAAAAUUCUUUAAACCUUUCAGUUCUGCAGUCCCGCCGCCGAGCGCAAAAAACUGUUUUAUUUUUUUUUCUGCCUAAAACUGUAUGCUGCUGUCGAAGUCAGCAGAGAAUUCGGAGCAGCGUAAAAGUCUUCCGGCGAACGCGCGCUCGCCAAAAAAAGAGAGGCAGAUCUUCGGAUAUUACCCUCUCUUUUUGUGUCUUAUAAUCUGCUUGCCCUCUGCUCUCAGAGAGCAACCUUCGGUCGGUGCUCUUUUUUGCGUCUCUCCGUUAUGUUUCGUCUCCGUUAUGUUCAGAAAGAAGAAAAAGACCUGGUGUAUUCUGUUUGAGCUAUGAAAAGAGAAGCAGCGACUGUUUAAAUGUUUCACUGCGACUUAUUUUAGUUUAUUUAUAUAAGUAAUAUUUUUUGAAAUAAAUCAAGUCAGGUUUUAUAACAUAACCCAAAAAUGAAAUCCCUCAAAAGUCUUUAAACAGUAUGAAAUGGAGCGUUGGAAAAGGAUUCCCUGCACCUGGACAAAUGUUUAAGCAAAGCUAUGAAAAACAUUAAAAACAAAUUAGCUCAAAAAACAUAGAUUUAAAUUAUAUAAUUUAACAAAAACAUAAUGAAAAGUAAAUUAAUAUGUAUGUAUUUUAAAUUGAAUUUUUGGAAAGGUGGAAAGUGAUGAAAAAAUCGCUAGGAUUUCCCUGGGGAGUUUCCUUGCAGGUGAAAGUCCUUGGAAAAAUCGUGAAAUUCCGAUGGGUUUUCCAUGGAACGUGUCCCUUGUAAGGGAUUUCACAGGAAUCGCGAAUUUCCGAAGGGAUUUUCCUGGGACGUUUCCUUUGCAGGAAACAGGCCAUACAACAAAUGAGUAUAAGGAACAGGGGAAACCGAAGGGACUUCGAAA